GACCAUUGUUCUAGGAUGAAAGGCCUGACCCGAGUUAGGCCUGGGCGUGGUCAGGCCCCUGGUCCCUCCUCCCGGCCUUAGCGGUUCUCUCUCUCUCUCUCUCUCUCUCUCUCUCUCUCUCGGGGUUUUCUGUGUAGACGUCUCUCUUGCGCUGCCUGGCGUGCGGAAGCUGGUCCUCGGGGAAGCCUGUGCCGUGGCAAAUGCUCCGUGACAGAACCGGGAAGCCACCGGGACGCGCUGAUGCACAGAGGGCUGAGCCGUGUCCCAGAGGCGUUGCCAGGGGAGCUCAGUGCUGGACUGGCCCCCCGCAGACCACCUGCCACAGAGUCACCCCGGGGACAGCAGGCCAAUGUCGGUCUUCCCACCCACGGAGAGGGUUUCAUGGCUGAGAACGAAGGCUGGGUGAACUGCACUUCCCACCGCGGAGUUCUACCUCUGCCAAGUGCCCUGUCCUGUCCCCGAGGAUGUGCACAGUACCUUUACCAGGAGGUGAGUCUGGAGGCAGAGGUGGAAGCAAGGAGAGGCCCGGAGGCCGGGGAAGCUCAGCGCACGUCCCGGCAGCCUGCUCCUGGGCCUGGGCCCUGCGGCUGCAGCACCAGCGGUCGGGGCAGCUCCUGGGACCCUUCCCACUGGCACGUGCUGUCCUCAGCACCGCUUCCCUGGGGACAGGGGCACCUGCAGCCCUCCGCGAGCGGGGGCCACUGAGGUGGGCGUCAGGCAGAGGUCACUGCUCUGGGAGAGCGGACGAGGCGCUGCGGGAUGCGGGGAGCACGCUCAGCCAGAGCUGAGGGCAGAGCAGCCUCAGUGUUUGCUGCGUUCUCCCCGAGAACCCCGAGAGCGCAGUGGUUUCUGGAGAAUGUUUAGGAGACCACGGGAACCUUCCCUCCAAUCCUUUGUUAGGAAGAGGAGAAGCACCGGCGCAUCCUCAAAAGCUGUACGUGCGGAUAAUUUAUAAAUAAUAAGUUAAUCUGAACUUCAGAGCAGGCUCGCAUUAUAUCACAUGGAACGUAAGAAAUCCACAGGGCACACUUGUAUUUGGAUCUGACAUCUCUCACGGGCACACAAUGCCUAAAGUUGUUUUUAUCUAUUAAAUUUGGUACAGUAUUAAAUUUUUAUGAUUCUUUCCUCCCAAAGCAUCUGAUUUUCUUCAAGUAAACAGACCAGCCUGGUUUCCCAUCCAUUAGGGGACACAUCGCUGGAGGAGAAAAGCAGAUUUAUUUUGGAAAGUUGAUUCUGGCACAUCACCCGAGUCCCUGAGCACAGGCACUCUGAACCUGCACGUCCUUGUCCGUGAAGCAGGCGUGGAAGAUGCCUGCACUCAAAGGACGACCAGAAACACCGACGGACAGCUGGCCAGCAGCCCGACCACCGCCCAGCACGUCAGCGCAACCAGGCCCGUCUGUGCGGGUCCAAGGGCCUCUCCCCUUCCACGCGCUCCUGUCUGAGACCAGGAAGGACACAGGCCUGUAUCCUCCUUGGCCUCGUAUUAUCCACUCUCCAGUUAACCUGAUUUUC